GAUGAACGCUGGCGGCGUGCCUAAUACAUGCAAGUCGAGCGAACAGACGAGGAGCUUGCUCCUCUGACGUUAGCGGCGGACGGGUGAGUAACACGUGGAUAACCUACCUAUAAGACUGGGAUAACUUCGGGAAACCGGAGCUAAUACCGGAUAAUAUAUUGAACCGCAUGGUUCAAUAGUGAAAGACGGUUUUGCUGUCACUUAUAGAUGGAUCAGCGCCGCAUUAGCUAGUUGGUAAGGUAACGGCUUACCAAGGCGACGAUGCGUAGCCGACCUGAGAGGGUGAUCGGCCACACUGGAACUGAGACACGGUCCAGACUCCUACGGGAGGCAGCAGUAGGGAAUCUUCCGCAAAGGGCGAAAGCUUGACGGAGCAACGCCGCGUGAGUGAUGAAGGUCUUCGGAUCGUAAAACUCUGUUAUUAGGGAAGAACAAAUGUGUAAGUAACUAUGCACGUCUUGACGGUACCUAAUCAGAAAGCCACGGCUAACUACGUG
rnacentral:rRNA from 1 species